rnacentral:misc_RNA from 1 species
GAUGAAGAACGCAGCGAAAUGCGAUAAGUAAUGUGAAUUGCAGAAUUCAGUGAAUCAUCGAAUCUUUGAACGCACAUUGCGCCCGCCAGUAUUCUGGCGGGCAUGCCUGUUCGAGCGUCAUUUCAACCCUCAAGCCCCGCUUGGUGUUGGGCCCCGCCCGCCGUGGCCGGCCCUAAAGACAGUGGCGGCGCCGCCUGGCCCUCAGCGUAGUACAUCUCUCGCUCCAGGGUCCGGUGGCCGCCUGCCAGAACCCCCCAACUCUGUGGUUGACCUCGGAUCAGGUAAGGAUACCCGCUGAACUUAAGCAUAUCAAUAAGCGGAGGA